AGAGUUUGAUCCUGGCUCAGGAUGAACGCUGGCGGCGUGUCUAAGGCAUGCAAGUCGUGUGGGUUCAGACCCACGGCAAACGGGAGAGUAACACAUUGGUAAUCUACCCCAAAGACGGGCAUAAUCUUGCGAAAGCGAGAAUAAUACCCGAUGGUAUCAGCUGACUCAAGUUGGUUGAUUAAAGCUUCGGCGCUUUGGGAGGAACCUAUGCCCCAUCAGCUAGUUGGUAAGGUAAUGGCUUACCAAGGCUACGACGGGUACCGGGUGUGAGAGCAUGGCCCGGCUCACUGGGACUGAGACACUGCCCAGACUCCUACGGGAGGCUGCAGUCAAGAAUAUUCCUCAAUGGCCGAAAGGCUGAAGGAGCGACGCCGCGUGUGUGAUGAAGCUCUUCGGAGUGUAAAGCACUUUUAUAUAGGACGAACAAAUGACGGUACUAUAUGAAUAAGGGGCUGCUAAACUCGUGCCAGCAGCAGCGGUAAUACGAGUGCCCCGAGCGUUAUCCGGAUUUAUUGGGCGUAAAGCGUCCGCAGGCGGUCUGUAACAUCUUUUGUUAAAUCACAAGGCUUAACUUUGUGACCGCGAGAGAUAUGGACAGACUAGAGACUGGGAGAGGUAAGCGGAAUUGCUGGUGUAGGGGUUAAAUCCGUUAAUAUCAGCAGGAACACCAAAUGCGAAGGCAGCUUACUGGAACAGUUCUGACGCUCAUGGACGAAAGCGUGGGUAGCGAAUGGGAUUAGAUACCCCAGUAGUCCACGCCGUAAACGUUGGAUGCUAAACAUUGGAAGUAUCGACCCUUUCAGUGUUGUUUAAUCAAGCUAACGCCUUAAGCAUCCCGCCUGGGGAGUACGGUCGCAAGAUUAAAACUCAAAGGAAUAGACGGGGACCCGCACAAGCGGUGGAGCAUGUGGUUUAAUUCGACGAUAAGCG
rnacentral:rRNA from 1 species